GACGAACGCUGGCGGCGUGCCUAAUACAUGCAAGUUGAGCGAUGAAGAUUGGUGCUUGCACCAAUUUGAAGAGCAGCGAACGGGUGAGUAACGCGUGGGGAAUCUGCCUUUGAGCGGGGGACAACAUUUGGAAACGAAUGCUAAUACCGCAUAACAACUUUAAACAUAAGUUUUAAGUUUGAAAGAUGCAAUUGCAUCACUCAAAGAUGAUCCCGCGUUGUAUUAGCUAGUUGGUGGGGUAAAGGCUCACCAAGGCGAUGAUACAUAGCCGACCUGAGAGGGUGAUCGGCCACAUUGGGACUGAGACACGGCCCAAACUCCUACGGGAGGCAGCAGUAGGGAAUCUUCGGCAAUGGACGAAAGUCUGACCGAGCAACGCCGCGUGAGUGAAGAAGGUUUUCGGAUCGUAAAACUCUGUUGGUAGAGAAGAACGUUGGUGAGAGUGGAAAGCUCAUCAAGUGACGGUAACUACCCAGAAAGGGACGGCUAACUACGU
rnacentral:rRNA from 1 species